rnacentral:rRNA from 1 species
AACGAACGCUGGCGGCAGGCUUAACACAUGCAAGUCGAGCGCGUAGCAAUACGAGCGGCAGACGGGUGAGUAACGCGUGGGAACGUACCCUUUUCUACGGAAUAACCCAGGGAAACUUGGACUAAUACCGUAUACGCCCUUCGGGGGAAAGAUUUAUCGGAGAAGGAUCGGCCCGCGUUGGAUUAGCUAGUUGGUGGGGUAAAGGCCUACCAAGGUGACGAUCCAUAGCUGGUCUGAGAGGAUGAUCAGCCACAUUGGGACUGAGACACGGCCCAAACUCCUACGGGAGGCAGCAGUGGGGAAUAUUGGACAAUGGGCGCAAGCCUGAUCCAGCCAUGCCGCGUGAGUGAUGAAGGCCUUAGGGUUGUAAAGCUCUUUCACCGGGGAAGAUAAUGACGGUACCCGGAGAAGAAGCCCCGGCUAACUUCGUGCCAGCCGCCGCAGUAA